rnacentral:rRNA from 1 species
UGCAAGUCGAACGGUAACAGGAAGAAGCUUGCUUCUUUGCUGACGAGUGGCGGACGGGUGAGUAAUGUCUGGGAAACUGCCUGAUGGAGGGGGAUAACUACUGGAAACGGUAGCUAAUACCGCAUAACGUCGCAAGACCAAAGAGGGGGACCUUCGGGCCUCUUGCCAUCGGAUGUGCCCAGAUGGGAUUAGCUAGUAGGUGGGGUAACGGCUCACCUAGGCGACGAUCCCUAGCUGGUCUGAGAGGAUGACCAG